UGAUCGGCCCUAGAAACAUUAAAAACUCUGAGCGGGGUCUGAAGGCUUGCAGGCCGCUGGGGUGGGGGAGAUUGGGGUUACGGUGCUGGGGUUAGAUUUGGCUGGAGGUGUCUUGGGGUGACGGUGGGACUGGGGUUUUAGGGGGUUGUCCGUAUGUGGAGGAUUUUAGUUUUAAUUUCUUUUAUUUUUAUGUUUUAUUUAUUUUUAAACUUAAAUAAUAUUUUAUUAAGUUUCCAUGUGUAAGUGGGCUCCACUUUGCCUAUAUGGCACUUAGUUCAGCAAAAUUGUGGGUCCCAUUGAUGCCACAUCAGUAUUUUUAACAGAUUUUUUGACAGACUUAACGGUGGGGGGCAAAGUGAGACGCAAAACAUCGAUCAAGGGGGUAAAGUGGGUCAUUUUAACUUUCAGGGGGCAAACUGAGAUUUGACCAUAGUUUCAGAGAGUACUACAGUAAAUAAGCCUAUAUUAUAUGUAUAAAUGCAAGUGGGGCUUUAGGUUGGAGAAAGUGUGCGGCUGAAGCUCCCAACUUUUAAGCCCUCCAUUCAUGUUUUAUGAUAAGGUAGAUGAAUGAGCAAAGUAUGGCUGGAAUCUCUUGAUUAUCUGCCUAUUCGGUUGAAAAGCUGCAGCUGAAGAAAAUUGGACUGAAGGUUUUUGGAGUCCACCAUAUAUAUAUAAAUGUGCGGCCGAAGGAAUGUCUGUUCAAAGCCUUCCUCAUUCUAUUGUAUGCUUUUAUAUAUAUAUAAGAAAGCAAAUGCAAAUGUGCGGCCUAAGUCUUCUUAAAGAUAAAGAACUUUCCAGCCCAUUUUGCAUGUCACCAAGUUUAUAUAUAUAAGCUCCAUCAUAAGCCUUUGGGUGGUUUGCAAGUUGGCUGACAAGUUAUUGCUUUAUAUGUAUAUAUAUUAUAGGAAGGUGGAUGCAAAGGUGCAACUGGAGCAAAUUGGGCUGAAAAGUUUAUCUUAUAUAGGUUGCAAGUGGUGGAAUUCGAAGAUGGGAAGACUUGUAGCCAUUUGU